rnacentral:rRNA from 1 species
UAAGGUCCCAAAGUCAUGGUUAAGUGGGAAACGAUGUGGGAAGGCCCAGACAGCCAGGAUGUUGGCUUAGAAGCAGCCAUCAUUUAAAGAAAGCGUAAUAGCUCACUGGUCGAGUCGGCCUGCGCGGAAGAUGUAACGGGGCUAAACCAUGCACCGAAGCUGCGGCAGCGACGCUGAUGCGUUGUUGGGUAGGGGAGCGUUCUGUAAGCCUGCGAAGGUGUGCUGUGAGGCAUGCUGGAGGUAUCAGAAGUGCGAAUGCUGACAUAAGUAACAAUAAAGGGGGUGAAAAGCCCGCUCGCCGGAAGACCAAGGGUUCCUGUCCAACGUUAAUCGGGGCAGGGUGAGUCGACCCCUAAGGCGAGGCCGAAAGGCGUAGUCGAUGGGAAACAGGUUAAUAUUCCUGUACUUGGUGUUACUGCGAAGGGGGGACGGAGAAGGCUAUGUUGGCCGGGCGAC